rnacentral:rRNA from 1 species
UACAGAGGGUGCGAGCGUUGUCCGGAAUCACUGGGCGUAAAGGGCGCGUAGGUGGCGCUCCAAGUCUGUGGUGAAAGCUCGAUGCUCAAAAUCGAGUCGGCCAUAGAGACUGGAGGGCUCGAGCACUGUAGGGGCAGAUGGAAUUCCGGGUGUAGCGGUGGAAUGCGUAGAGAUCCGGAAGAACACCGGUGGCGAAGGCGGUCUGCUGGGCAGUUGCUGACACUGAGGCGCGACAGCGUGGGGAGCAAACAGG